rnacentral:tRNA from 1 species
AAGGAUUUAAGUUAAUAAAACUAUUAACCUUCAAAGUUAAAAAUAUAAAUCAAAUAUAAGCCUUA